AGUGAACGCUGGCGGCGUGCCUAAUACAUGCAAGUCGAACGGAGUGGCGCACGGGGGAGUAAUAUAUAGUUAAUCUGCCCCUUGCUGGAGGACAACAGGUAGAAAUGACUGCUAAUACUCCAUAGCAAGGGAUGUGACUAGAUCGUAUCAGCUAGUCGCUGGGGAAACGGCCUACCGAGGCUAUGACGCGUAACUGGUCUGAGAGGAUGCUCAGGCACAUUGGAACUGAGACACGAUUCAGACACCUUCGGGAGGCAACAGUAGGGUAUACUGCGUAAUCGGUGAAACCGUAGAGGAUCAACGCAGCGUGAAGGAUGACACUUUUCGAAGCGUAAACUCCUUAUGUUAGGAAAGCGGUACCUAACGAGUAAGCACCGGCUAACUCCGUGCCAGCAGCCGCGGUAAUAC
rnacentral:rRNA from 1 species